AACUGCAUGCAGAUAAUUGCAGAAGACUAGAUACUGCUUGAAAAUGACCACCUAUUGCUUGCACAAACCAAAUACUGGUGGCAGAGGACUAGAUAUUAAGAAAGGAAGACUAGAUACUAUUAAUAAUAUCUUCUGAUAUAUUAUGGUCACUCUAAUUUGAACUGCAUCAUAUUCCUUGGCAAUUCUAAAAUAGGAAUAAAUUUCAAGUUGAGCAGAAUUUAUGAUCACUCUAGUUUGAACUGUAACAUGGUCCUCAUGACCUCUAAAAUAGCAACAUUCAGAAACCAGAAAUAAGUUCGAAGUGUUCAAAAUAUAGAAUAACUUGGUGCGGAAUAACAGC